CUACACUGCCAUUUUCACAUGUCAUUCAUUUUUCACAGGGGAAUAUUCAGUUGAUGAUGCAUGGAAUUUUCAAGAAUUGCAAGAACAGAUUACAAAGGGAUAUCUCUAAGAGCUGCACAAUCUGUUCCCUCCUAAGUUUACUCCAGUUUCUUUAAGUUGCUGAGAGAACGAUUUCAAUAUCCAGUCAGUUAUUAGUGAGUUAAUUGAAUGCAGAUGGGGCACAGAAACAACAGAUACAAGGGUGAAGCUCUGAAACACCAA